rnacentral:rRNA from 1 species
AUGUUAAUAGCAUACUCAUUUGACGUUAGCUGCAGAAGAAGCACCGGCUAACUCCGUGCCAGCAGCCGCGGUAAUACGGAGGGUGCGAGCGUUAAUCGGAAUUACUGGGCGUAAAGCGCAUGCAGGUGGUUUGUUAAGUCAGAUGUGAAAGCCCGGGGCUCAACCUCCGGAAUUGCAUUUGAAACUGGCAAACUAGAGUACUGUAGAGGGGGUAGAAUUUCAGGUGUAGCGGUGAAAUGCGUAGAGAUCUGAAGGAAUACCGGUGGCGAAGGCGGCCCCCUGGACAGAUACUGACACUCAGAUGCGAAAGCGUGGGGAGCAAACAGGAUUAGAUACCCUGGUAG